UAUUCACAGUUUUAAAGCAGGGAAGGAAGGUCUAGAUAUAAUUAAGUCAACUAAUUAUUCCCAUUCUUCAUGCAUAUAUAAGCUAGAACUUGAAUUGUAUAAAUAAUAAUCUAUUUUGAUACAAUUGGGUAGCGCAUUUUUUUAGUCAUAUUCAGAAUUUUGAGUGGUAUAUGAUGAAUAUAGAUUUCAGCAUUGAGUUCUUGUUUCUUCUCUUAUAUACCUUUCGAGUGUAUUUAUUUACGUGUUUUGCAACGUUUUUCUUUAUGAACCAAGUCUUGUUUUCUGAUUAUAUUUUUUGUCAGUUAUAAACCGCGUCAACGUGCUGUUUAUAAUUUUCCUACUUUGCACAAGAACUUUGUAUCAUCGCUAAAAAGUAAGCCAUAACUAUUAUUUUCAAAUUACAGGCUUAAAAGUGAAGAAAAAUCUACCGAUAUAUGAUAUUGGCAUGAUUGAUGGUGGAGUGACGACUGAUUGAUGUAGGUAGAAAGGACUUUGCGAAGAAGGGAGAUAUUGUUACUGCUGGCGGUCGAGUAAAGAUUGGUCGAUGUAAAUGGAAAGGUAGAAGAUAUUGUUACUGCUGAUGACCGAGUGGCAAUUGAUCGAUGUAAAUGGACAGCAGGCAUACAAAUGCAAAAUGAGAUUUUGAAGAAACAAGAUAGCAAUGCUCAAUGUGGAGACGGAGCUGGAACGAAAUAUUUCACCCGUAUAUUCUCCAAAAAUCAUAUCUUGGUCUCGGGAUAGCUGUAGUUUGUAAUUUUUUUUCGAUGUAUCUAUUCCCCUGCGUGUUGGGUCGUGCCGAACCGACAUUAACUACUAAAGCUGAACAUUUUUGAAUACUUGCUAAUUUCAUCACCCAGUCAGUUGGCGCCGAGUUGUCACCCA